AGCGAACGCUGGCGGUAGGCCUAACACAUGCAAGUCGAACGGCAGCACAGUAAGAGCUUGCUCUUACGGGUGUCGAGUGGCGGAAGGGUGAGGAAUACAUCGGAAUCUACUUUUUCGUGGGGGAUAACGUAGGGAAACUUACGCUAAUACCGCAUACGACCUACGGGUGAAAGCAGGGGAUCUUUGGACCUUGCGCGAUUGAAUGAGCCGAUGUCGGAUUAGCUAGUUGGCGGGGUAAAGGCCCACCAAGGCGACGAUCCGUAGCUGGUCUGAGAGGAUGAUCAGCCACACUGGAACUGAGACACGGUCCAGACUCCUACGGGAGGCAGCAGUGGGGAAUAUUGGACAAUGGGCGCGAGCCUGAUCCAGCCAUACCGCGUGGGUGAAGAAGGCCUUCGGGUUGUAAAGCCCUUUUGUUGGGAAAGAAAAGCAGCAGGUUAAUACCCCGCUGUUCUGACGGUACCCAAAGAAUAAGCACCGGCUAACUUCGUG
rnacentral:rRNA from 1 species